CAAACAGCACAGUACGUUUUGAGUACGUACAAUUUUGGUACUGUACGUACAUGAUGUAAAAUGUACGUUUUAAGUACGUACACUGGGGUACAUACCAGUACGUACUAUUACGUCCAAGUAUGUACCAUGAGAAAGAAGAGCUAAGGCAUAUUUAUUAUGUCAGGUUAUGUUAACCUAACCUAAUUUAUUUGGUUAGGAACAGGAACUUUCCUUCCACCUCGAGUACAGUUUUGAUGUGAUAAUUCAUUGCAAGACAGUUUCAUUUAGAUUUUUUUUUACUUAUUUUUGGUGUUGGAGCUUAGUGUGGUUUCCUGUUAUCUUAAGAUUAUUGAGAAGCUGCAAUAAAAAGUCAAAAAUGUAGUGAUAAGAAGGUGGCGGAGCAAGAAAUUGGACGAUGGUUGAGGAGAGCCGGGGAUCGCUUAAAAACUUUCAAGGAAAAGGAAUCAGAAUAAAAAUUGAAUUUAUUUAUUUUUUAAAUAAUAAAGAUAUAUUCACCUA